rnacentral:rRNA from 1 species
UACGGGGGGAGCAAGCGUUGUUCGGAUUUACUGGGCGUAAAGGGCGCGUAGGCGGCCACCGCAAGUCAAUUGUGAAAUCUCCGGGCUUAACUCGGAAAGGUCAACUGAUACUGCGGGGCUAGAGUGCGGAAGGGGCAACUGGAAUUCUCGGUGUAGCGGUGAAAUGCGCAGAUAUCAGGAGGAACACCAAUGGCGAAGGCAGCACUCUGGGACGUGACUGACGCUGAGACGCGAAAGCGUGGGGAGCAAACAGG